rnacentral:rRNA from 1 species
CGGGGGGGGCAAGCGUUGUUCGGAAUUACUGGGCGUAAAGGGCUCGUAGGCGGCCAACUAAGUCAGACGUGAAAUCCCUCGGCUUAACCGGGGAACUGCGUCUGAUACUGGAUGGCUUGAAUCCGGGAGAGGGAUGCGGAAUUCCAGGUGUAGCGGUGAAAUGCGUAGAUAUCUGGAGGAACACCGGUGGCGAAGGCGGCAUCCUGGACCGGCAUUGACGCUGAGGAGCGAAAGCCAGGGGAGCAAACGGGAUUAGAUACCCCGGUAGUCCUGGCCCUAAACGAUGAAUGCUUGGUGUGGCGGGUAUCGAUCCCUGCCGUGCCGAAGCUAACGCAUUAAGCAUUCCGCCUGGGGAGUACGGUCGCAAGGCUG